rnacentral:lncRNA from 1 species
GCCUCCCUAUUCCUCUAUUUUUCAUUUAUUUUGUUAGAAAUUGACAGUACCAACUGAGCCAUCAAUGCUGUCAGCAUUCGGUCGUGUCACUAUUGCUCAAUCAUCGAUCUCAUCUCCCUUUUCCUUCCCUCCUUUCUCCCUUAAAAAGGCCAUUGAAAAACUUCUAUUUCACCGUCCAUUGGUGGCCACGGGAAAGAAAGAGAGAGAGAGAGAGAGAGAAGGAAAGAAAGAACGAAAGAAAAAUAAAGAAAGAAAGAGAGAAAAGAAAUAGAGAGGGAAAGAGAGAGAAAGAAAGAGAGAGAAAGAGAGAGAUGGAGAAAGAGAGAGAGGGACUCAAUUUUUUUAGUGAACCUAACCUGUUAAUUAGAUCCAAUCCAAUCGGGUUUCAUUAGGUCAAACUAAAUCGUAUAGAUCUGACUUAUGAAUCGACCUAAUCCUGGCUUAGACCGGGGCUUAGACCUAAUCCUGACUUAUUGACUACUGUCUAGUUGGAUUUAUGAUUGAGAAAAAGACAGACUUGGCAUAUUCUUCAGGAUCUUAUCCAAAAAAGUGUGUGGCCAUCACGUGCCUAAAUCGGAUGCUGGAUUCGGGGCGUGAUAACAAGCUAAUUAUGGUAUUUGUGAUUAAACUUCAUCAAGUUUAGAUCAUUGGCUUA